GUGAAUCAUCGAAUUUUUGAACGCAAAUUGCACUCUCUGGCAUGCCGAAGAGUAUUCCUGUGUGAGGGUCAGUUUAAAUGAAAAUCUAGGUGUUGCGGGGUUGUGACCCAUCGGAAUUGGGUUAUCUUUGACCUUUUAAAAAGUUGAGGUUACCUAAAAUUGAUACCUUGUGCAUCUCAGACGUA
rnacentral:misc_RNA from 1 species